AAGAGACGUUGCCCUUCGGGGUAUACCUCCCACCCUUUGUUUAUUAUACCUUUGUUGCUUUGGCGGGCCCGUCCUCGGACCACCUGGCUUCUGCUGGUCAGUGCCCGCCAGAGGACCUAAAACUCUGUUUGUUAAUAUUGUCUGAGUACUAUAUAAUAGUUA
rnacentral:misc_RNA from 1 species